rnacentral:tRNA from 1 species
GCCUCCUUAGCUCAGUUGGUUAGAGCAAAUCACUCAUAAUGGUCAGGUCCGCAGUUCAAGUCUGCGAGGAGGCACCA